CUGGACACUCCUGGCUGCACCUGCUCCAAGUUCUUGUCUCCACUCGGUGAAGUAAUUGGAGGAACACCCUAAGGGCGUACGGGAAAGCAGGAUUUAGGUGAUGAAUAUCUUCCGACAAGUUGGAUUGUGUUGAUGGCUAUAUAGUUAUGAAUGGACCAAAAGAAAAAAUCCAGGUAGGUAAAGCCGCCGCCUGCACUGCCAGCAUCCCAUAUGGGCGCUAGUGACCUAGCCGUUCCACUUCCAAUCCAGCUUUUUGCUGUGGCCUGGGAAAGCAGUGGAAGAUGGCCCAAGUCCUUGGGCCCCCGCACCUGCACCCACAUGGGAGACCUGGAAGAAGCUCCUGGCUCCUGGCUUCAGAUCUGCGCUACUCUGGCCAUUGUGGCCAUCUGGGGAGUGAACCAGCAGAUGGAAGACCUCUCUCUCUCUCUCUGCCUCUGCCUACUUGUACUCUGCCUUUCAAAUAAAUAAAUAAAUCUUUUAAAAAAAUCCAUGGAACCGGACC